AAGUCGUAACAAGGUUUCCGUAGGUGAACCUGCGGAAGGAUCAUUACCACGUAAAAAAAAAAAUCCAAACCUUUUUUCAACAAACCCAUGCCCGUGUGAAAACGUUGGACCACGAAAAGAACAGAGAGAGAACCAAAAAUGAAUCGAGGCGUGUGUGUGUGUGUGUGUUUUGUGCGUGCGUACAUUUCUAUGUGUGCGCGCGCACACGCACCACCACCACCACCCUCUUUUCCUUUUUGCCCCUCUCUCUCGCUCUUUUUCAAUUCAUUUUACUUAGCCCCCACGUCCCCCUUUUCCCUUUUUUUUUUCCGUCUCUGGAAGAAAAAAAGAACGAAAUGGUUUGAGACAUUUUGAAAAAAACAAAACAAAAAACGAGAGACAACUUUUAACGGUGGAUCUCUUGGCUCGU
rnacentral:misc_RNA from 1 species